rnacentral:misc_RNA from 1 species
GGAAGUAAAAGUUGUAACAAGGUUUCCGUAGGUGAACCUGCGGAAGGAUCAUUAUUGUAUAACCGAGGUGCGAGGGCUGUCGCUGACCCGAAAGGUCGUGCACGCCCGAGUGCCCUCACACACAUCCAUCUCACCCCUAUGUGCACCACCGCGUGGGUCCCCCUUUGGCUUGUUUGGAGGGGGGCUUACGUUUUCACACAAACUUUGUAUGCAGUGUAGAAUGUAUUUUUUGUUUUUGCGAUCACGCAAUCAAUACAACUUUCAACAACGGAUCUCUUGGCUCUC